rnacentral:rRNA from 1 species
CAGUUGGCGGGGUAACGGCCCACCAAACCGACGAUGGAUAGGGGUUCUGAGAGGAAGGUCCCCCACAUUGGUACUGAGACACGGACCAAACUCCUACGGGAGGCAGCAGUGAGGAAUAUUGGUCAAUGGCCGAGAGGCUGAACCAGCCAAGUCGCGUGAAGGAAGAAGGAUCUAUGGUUUGUAAACUUCUUUUAUAGGGGAAUAAAGUGGAGGACGUGUCCUUUUUUGUAUGUACCCUAUGAAUAAGCAUCGGCUAACUCCGUGCCAGCAGCCGCGGUAAUACGGAGGAUGCGAGCGUUAUCCGGAUUUAUUGGGUUUAAAGGGUGCGUAGGUGGUGAUUUAAGUCAGCGGUGAAAGUUUGUGGCUCAACCAUAAAAUUGCCGUUGAAACUGGGUUACUUGAGUGUGUUUGAGGUAGGCGGAAUGCGUGGUGUAGCGGUGAAAUGCAUAGAUAUCACGCAGAACUCCGAUUGCGAAGGCAGCUUACUAAACCAUAACUGACACUGAAGCACGAAAGCGUGGGGAUCAAACAGGAUUAGAUACCCUGGUAGUCCACGCAGUAAACGAUGAUUACUAGGAGUUUGCGAUACAA